CUCUCCUACAAAGGUGUGUCUGUAAUUCCCUCUCCUUGGACAUGUAAGAAUUUGAGGCAAAGAGAUGUGGACUUGGAGAAGUCUGAAACCAGUUUGCACCCCAUCAGGUCAAGAUUACCCUUUCCUACACAC
rnacentral:snoRNA from 1 species